rnacentral:rRNA from 1 species
UACGUAGGGUGCGAGCGUUACUCGGAAUUACUGGGCGUAAAGCGUGCGCAGGCGGUCUGUUAAGACCGAUGUGAAAUCCCCGGGCUUAACCUGGGAACUGCAUUGGUGACUGGCAGGCUUUGAGUGUGGCAGAGGGGGGUAGAAUUCCACGUGUAGCAGUGAAAUGCGUAGAGAUGUGGAGGAAUACCGAUGGCGAAGGCAGCCCCCUGGGCCAACACUGACGCUCAUGCACGAAAGCGUGGGGAGCAAACAGG